UACGUAGGGUGCAAGCGUUGUCCGGAAUUAUUGGGCGUAAAGAGCUCGUAGGCGGUCUGUCGCGUCGGAUGUGAAAAUCCAGGGCUCAACCCUGGACCUGCAUUCGAUACGGGCAGACUAGAGUUCGGUAGGGGAGACUGGAAUUCCUGGUGUAGCGGUGAAAUGCGCAGAUAUUAGGAGGAACACCGGUGGCGAAGGCGGCUUGCUGGGCCAGUUCUGACGCUGAGGAGCGAAAGCGUGGGGAGCGAACAGG
rnacentral:rRNA from 1 species